GAUUCCCUAGUACUGCGAGUGAAGCGGGAAAAGCUCAAAUUUAAAAUCCGUCCUCAGACGGAGUUGUAAUCUAGAGAAGUGUUUUCGGCCGCGGACCUGGCUAAGUCCCUUGGAACAGGGCGUCGUAGAGGGUGACAAUCCCGUACUUAUCAGGCACCCCGCGUCUAUGUGAUACACUCUCGAAGAGUCGAGUUGUUUGGGAAUGCAGCUCAAAAUGGGUGGUAAAUUCCAUCUAAAGCUAAAUAUUGGCGAGAGACCGAUAGCGAACAAGUACCGUGAGGGAAAGAUGAAAAGCACUUUGGAAAGAGAGUUAAACAGUACGUGAAAUUGCUAAAAGGGAAGCGCUUGAAGUCAGUCGCGUUUAUGAGACUCAGCCUCACGGUGUAUUUCUCUUGAACGGGCCAACAUCGAUUUUGGGCGCGGGAAAAGGGUUUGGGGAAUGUGGCAACCUCGGUUGUGUUAUAGCCUCUUGCCGUACACCGCGCCCGGGAUCGAGGACCGCGGCUUUGCCUAGGAUGUUGGCGUAAUGGCUUUAAGCGACCCGUCUUGAAC
rnacentral:rRNA from 1 species